GGAAUGUAGCUCAGUGAUAGAGUGCUUGCCUAGUAUGUAUGAGGCCCUGGGUUCAAUAUCCAGUACCA
rnacentral:tRNA from 1 species